rnacentral:rRNA from 1 species
AUGACUGCAUCCCCUUCUACACCACCGCAGGCCUCUACACAGUCAGGUACAUCCUCGUGGGUUCUGGAUUCUAGAGCCUCCUUUCAUAUGUCUUCUGAUUCUUCUGUGUUGUCUUCUCUCCGACCUCUUGAUUCACCUGUUAAUGUUCUUACCGCCGAUGGCACACCUCUUCCUGUUGCUAGUCGUGGUCUUCUUUCCACUCCAUCAUUUUCUGUUUCUAGUGUUUCCCAUGUUCCUCGCCUUACCAUGAAUCUUUUUUCUACUGCCCAACUCACUGAUUCUGGUUGUCGUGUCAUUCUUGAUACCGACUCUUGCUCUAUUCAGGAUUGUCGCACCAAGGCUUUGGUUGGUGCUGGCCCCCGGCGCCGUGAGUUAGAGGGCCUUUGGGAGGUUGACUGGCUUUGUGUUCCUUCCGCUGCCACCACUUCUGCCAACUCCCAUGCUCUUGCUGCCUCUUCGUCUACGUCACUGUCCGCACUCUCCUUGUUGUGGCCUCUGUUCGGCAGUGGUCUAUCUCUCAACUUGAUGUCCAGAACACUUUUCUCAAUGGCGAGUUGCGUGAGGAGGUUUACAUGCAGCCACCACCGGGGUACUAUGCUCCUGACGGUAUGGUCUGUCAACUUCGCCGCUCUCUCUAUGGUCUUCAACAGGCCCCUCGCGCCUAGUUUGAGCGCUUCGCCUCUGUGGUGA